rnacentral:tRNA from 2 species
GGACGAGUGGGUGAGCGGCUGAAACCACAUCCCUGCUAAGGAUGCGUACUGGUAACGGUACCGAGAGUUCGAACCUCUCCUCGUCCACCA